ACGGGUGAGAUAACACGUAAAGAACCUGCCCUCAGGUCUGGGAUAACCACGAGAAAUCGGGGCUAAUACCGGAUGGGUCAUCGGACCGCAUGGUCCGAGGAUGAAAGGCGCUCCGGCGUCGCCUGGGGAUGGCUUUGCGGUGCAUUAGCUAGUUGGUGGGGUAACGGCCCACCAAGGCGACGAUGCAUAGCCGACCUGAGAGGGUGAUCGGCCACACUGGGACUGAGACACGGCCCAGACUCCUACGGGAGGCAGCAGUAGGGAAUCUUCCACAAUGGACGAAAGUCUGAUGGAGCAACGCCGCGUGGACGAUGAAGGCCUUCGGGUCGUAAAGUUCUGUUGUAAG
rnacentral:rRNA from 1 species